rnacentral:rRNA from 1 species
GAACAGGAAAGAGCCCAGCACUGAAUCCCGCCGUUGUAACGGCGGCGGGAGAUGUGGUGUUCGGGAGGUUCCGCUUUCUUGUCGUCGUCCACUCCUGUCCAAGUUCGUCUUGAACGGGGCCCAUUUCCCAUAGAGGGUGCCAGGCCCGUAGCGACGGAGGACGUCGGCGAGAGGGACUCUCCUCAGAGUCGGGUUGCUUGAGAGUGCAGCCCUAAGUGGGUGGUAAACUCCAUCUAAGGCUAAAUAUUACCGCGAGACCGAUAGCGAACAAGUACCGUAAGGGAAAGUUGA